UACAGAGGGGGCGAGCGUUGUUCGGAAUUACUGGGCGUAAAGGGCGCGUAGGCGGCCCUCUAAGUCGAACGUGAAAUCCCCGGGCUCAACCCGGGAACUGCGUCCGAUACUGGAGGGCUCGAAUCCGGGAGAGGGAAGCGGAAUUCCUGGUGUAGCGGUGAAAUGCGUAGAUAUCAGGAGGAACACCUGCGGUGUAGACGGCUUCCUGGACCGUUACUGACGCUGAGACACGAAAGCGUGGGGAGCAAACAGG
rnacentral:rRNA from 1 species